CGCCCGCAGCGCCGUCUCGCCGCGCCGCUUCCCGCUGUGGGGACGGGGCGGGGCGCUCGGCGGCGCCGGGCGCGGGCGGCAGGUUCGUGGGCGGCGGCAGGCACCGGCGCCGGCAGCCCCCCUCGGCGCCGCGCGCGCGGCGCUCCGCCCGCCCGCCUCGUUCCGCUCCGCUCCCCUCCGCUCCCCUCCCGUCCCCGCUCCCCCCCCCCCCCGCUCCCCUCCGCUCCCGCUCCCGCCGUGCCCUGGAGAUGCUGUCGGAGCUGCGCCGCCGCCUUCCCCCCCCCCCCCCCCCAGGAAGCGACCCACGGCGCCAGAUCCGACGGAGAUCGUCUCCGGGGUGACGAAGCUUAUGGAAAAAAAGACCAAAGGCCUCGAGGGAUGUUAUUCUUGACCCCCCGGGGCAAACGGAGGUGUUCACCUGGUCAGCGUCAGGAGCCAUCCUACCUGAGGCCCUGGCUCCCUCUUUCCCUUCGGUUGCCACGUGUGUGCCGGACACCUCUGGCAGGACUAACCCUGUGGCUUUUAUGUCCAACGUGCUGUGUGCCUGCAGUAUCCUGUCCAAGACCAAGCUACCUUUCCUCGUGGGAAUGGACUGGCCGGGCUUUGGCAGUCUGGCCCCUCGAAAGACUAAAGUGACCUCUUCCAGCAGGGGAAGACUUUCUGGCAAGCGGUGCCAGAAAGAACUGGAGUUUCUGGAGAAUAAAAGCUGGAGGUGUGCCCCCGAUAAUCCUCGCCCCGGGUGGUGAGUGGUCUGACUUGCAGGGACCGGUGGCCUUGGCCAGGAGCGGUCCUGCCGGACUGUAAUUUUAAUUU